rnacentral:rRNA from 1 species
UACGUAGGGUGCGAGCGUUGUCCGGAAUUACUGGGCGUAAAGAGCUCGUAGGUGGUUUGUCGCGUUGUUCGCGAAAUCUCACGGCUUAACUGUGAGCGUGCGGGCGAUACGGGCAGACUAGAGUACUGCAGGGGAGACUGGAAUUCCUGGUGUAGCGGUGGAAUGCGCAGAUAUCAGGAGGAACACCGGUGGCGAAGGCGGGUCUCUGGGCAGUAACUGACGCUGAGGAGCGAAAGCGUGGGGAGCGAACAGG